rnacentral:lncRNA from 1 species
GCUGAUUGAACCAGAUUCCAUGAGAUGACUCUAACACCACCCCUAAGAAACAACAUUCUUCUCCCAUGAAUCUGAGUCAAGGAAGCAGGAAGCUGCUUACCACAAGAAAGAGUAGUCACUUGCAAGAUGGAAAAGAUGAGAUUUAUUGUGGCAGAUGACUUGCAAAAAAGACUCCCUGUUCUCUAUGAUCCUCAAAGAUAUCUUCAAUGAAAAAAUG